rnacentral:rRNA from 1 species
UACGUAGGGGGCAAGCGUUGUCCGGAAUCAUUGGGCGUAAAGCGCGUGUAGGCGGCUUGGUAAGUCCGGUGUGAAACCUUGGGGCUCAACCCCAAGCCUGCAUCGGAAACUGCCUCGCUCGAGUCCGGGAGGGGAGAGCGGAAUCCUAGUGUAGCGGUGAAAUGCGCAGAUAUUAGGAAGAACACCGGUGGCGAAGGCGGCUCUCUGGAACGGUACUGACGCUGAGACGCGAAAGCGUGGGGAGCGAACAGG